GAUCAAUCUUUGGGACCAAUCUUAUUUCAUCUCCCUCCCUCAGCUCAGUGAUGGCCUGAAUUGCCCCUUCUCCCGGCAGAGCCAGAGGAUUGGAAGCAGCAACAUCAAACCCCUGUGUGGCUCGCAGGAAUGAACACAAACACGCCCUUGUAGCUGGACAGAUGGGAGCCCGAGAGCUCAGGUGCUGGAGCGCUGCGUUUGUCAGUGAAGCUCGUACCAAGGAAAAAGAAGUCAAGCCUCAGAGUCUCCUGCCCUCAUGCGACGGAAAGUGAGUGAGAGCAGCGAGCCUGUGACCGUUGGUGAUGCCAGGCAAGAGGCCUCCAUCUGGGAGCCGAGCAAUCGCCAGUCUCGGUGAGGACACGGGUAGGUGUGCGUUCCCACAGGUGAGGUCUCGGGAGCCAUGGAAAAGUCGGAGCGGACGAAAAUCAUGCAGGGCAGUAGAAAGGCUGCUGAAAGUACCUGAAGAGACAAAGGAAAUGAGAAGGGGGAAGUCCAGACUAAGACAGGAGUCUAGUCUGUAAAGAGAAACAACGGGAAGUCUAAGCUACAGAAACUCUUCAAGAUGCCAAAAGACAUUUAGGAUGGGAAAUUACUUCUUGAAUCCAGUCUCUUUAAGAUCUUAGGCUUAGUAUGCGUGUGUAUUUGUAUUUGCUUAGUAAUCUGCCUUCUUCUGUUUGCUAUCCCUUAUAAUCACUGAAAA